UGCGCAGGCGGUUUUGUAAGUCAGAUGUGAAAUCCCCGGGCUUAACCUGGGAACUGCGUUUGAAACUACAAGACUAGAGUGUAGCAGAGGGGGGUGGAAUUCCAUGUGUAGCAGUGAAAUGCGUAGAGAUAUGGAAGAACACCGAUGGCGAAGGCAGCCCCCUGGGUUAACACUGACGCUCAGGCACGAAAGCGUGGGGAGCAAACA
rnacentral:rRNA from 1 species